rnacentral:rRNA from 1 species
UGAAUAUCUGAUGUGGUUGUAGCUGGCUCCCUUAAAGAGCAUGUGCACACCCGUCACCUUUAUCUUUCCACCUGUGCACACACUGUAGUCCCGGAUACCUCUCGCUGCAAGGCGGAUGCAGAGGCUGCUGUGCUUUCGAAAGAAGGUCAGCUUUCUCUGAAUUUCCGGGUCUACGAAUUUUAUACACCCCAAACGAAUGUUAUAGAAUGUAAUCUUUAUCAGGCCUUUGUGCCUAUAAAACCUAUACAACUUUCAGCAACGGAUCUCUUGGCUCUCGCAUCGAUGAAGAACGCAGCGAAAUGCGAUAAGUAAUGUGAAUUGCAGAAUUCAGUGAAUCAUCGAAUCUUUGAACGCACCUUGCGCUCCUUGGUAUUCCGAGGAGCAUGCCUGUUUGAGUGUCAUUAAAUUCUCAACCUCACCCAUUUUUGUAAUGAAAGUGUGUGUGUAGGCUUGGAUGUGGAGGCUAUGCAGGUCCGCCAUACAGGUGGUCUGCUCCUCUGAAAUGUAUUAGUGGGUUGUUCCCCUAAUCUAUUGGUGUGAUAAUUAUCUACGCCGUGGAUCAGGUUGGUAACGAUAGACCUGCUUCUAACCGUCCGACUCGGACAACAUUUGACAUUUUUGACCUCAAAUCAGGUAAGACUACCCGCUGAACUUA